rnacentral:rRNA from 1 species
GUGACCUCAAAUCAGGUAGGACUACCCGCUGAACUUAAGCAUAUCAAUAAGCGGAGGAACAGAAACUAACAAGGAUUCCCCUAGUAACUGCGAGUGAAGCGGGAAAAGCUCAAAUUUAAAAUCUGGUAGUCUUUUUGGCUAUCCGAGUUGUAAUCUAGAGAAGUGUUAUCCGCGCUGGACCGUGUAUAAGUCUCCUGGAAUGGAGCGUCAUAGAGGGUGAGAAUCCCGUCUUUGACACGGACUGCCAGGGCUUUUGUGAUGCACUCUCAAAGAGUCGAGUUGUUUGGGAAUGCAGCUCAAAAUGGGUGGUAAAUUCCAUCUAAAGCUAAAUAUUGGCGAGAGACCGAUAGCGAACAAGUACCGUGAGGGAAAGAUGAAAAGAACUUUGGAAAGAGAGUUAAACAGUACGUGAAAUUGCUGAAAGGGAAACGCUUGAAGUCAGUCGCGUUGUCCAGGAAUCAACCUUGCUUUUGCUUGGUGUACUUUCUGGUUGACGGGUCAACAUCAAUUUUAAUCAUUGGAGACAUCUUAAUGGAAUGUAGCAUCUUUGGAUGUGUUAUAGCCUUUAUUUUAUAUACAAUGGUUGGGAUUGAGGAACUCAGCACGCCAUAAGGCCGAGUUUUGUUACAAAACUACGUACGUGC